CAAAAAUGAAAAGGUUGUAGUAAUAAAAACGCAGCGGCUUAGCUCGGUAAGGCUGAACAAUGUAGAUAAAAAAAUAAUAAUAAAUCGCUCAAGGCCAUAAAGCAACGACCAAAGACUUCGCAUCCGAUAAAGACAAAAGGAACUUCGCGCAAGACUCUCGCAACAAAAGAGCCAUAAAAUAAAAGGUUGGAAACGGCUCUCGAGUGUGCGAAUGGGCGAAACGUGAAGAUCAGAAAAUGCUGUAGACUCACCGACCGACCGACAAGGGGUGGAAGAGUGAAGGAGAUGGGCUGUAACGUGCGGGAGCUGAAAGCUGUCAAAGUGUGGAAAUUCCUAGGGUGGCGCAGAAAAGUUCACCCGAUGACUUCAAAGCUUUCCCACAGCGGAAAAUUCCACCCAAAAUCAAAGCGCCCACAUCGUGCUAUGACUGAUUGUGUGUGGAUAGAGGAGAAAGGCACCAACACCACCAGCAUACACCAACACUUUGUUUGCAGAUGAAUUCCUAAGCCGGUGAUGAUGGUGAGAGGUGAGAGUCAAAGUGAAAGAGUUUCGACGCGCGCGUGGUGAAAUGAUUUUUCGGUAGGCCUAAUCUGCGGGUAUUUAAUCUUAAUAAAAAGGAAUUAUGCUUAUUAUUCAAUUAUGGGCUGAACGAGCGCCGGCGGCGGGCGUCGGUAGUAGUCGUCGCAAAAGCCGUUUGAUUGAACUUGGAUGGAACUGGUGAUUAUGAAUUGUAACG